rnacentral:rRNA from 2 species
AAAUUGAAGAGUUUGAUCAUGGCUCAGAUUGAACGCUGGCGGCAGGCCUAACACAUGCAAGUCGAACGGUAACAGGAAGCAGCUUGCUGCUUUGCUGACGAGUGGCGGACGGGUGAGUAAUGUCUGGGAAACUGCCUGAUGGAGGGGGAUAACUACUGGAAACGGUGGCUAAUACCGCAUAACGUCGCAAGACCAAAGAGGGGGACCUUCGGGCCUCUUGCCAUCAGAUGUGCCCAGAUGGGAUUAGCUUGUUGGUGAGGUAACGGCUCACCAAGGCGACGAUCCCUAGCUGGUCUGAGAGGAUGACCAGCCACACUGGAACUGAGACACGGUCCAGACUCCUACGGGAGGCAGCAGUGGGGAAUAUUGCACAAUGGGCGCAAGCCUGAUGCAGCCAUGCCGCGUGUAUGAAGAAGGCCUUCGGGUUGUAAAGUACUUUCAGCGGGGAGGAAGGUGUUGUGGUUAAUAACCGCAGCAAUUGACGUUACCCGCAGAAGAAGCACCGGCUAACUCCGUGCCAGCAGCCGCGGUAAUACGGAGGGUGCAAGCGUUAAUCGGAAUUACUGGGCGUAAAGCGCACGCAGGCGGUCUGUCAAGUCGGAUGUGAAAUCCCCGGGCUCAACCUGGGAACUGCAUUCGAAACUGGCAGGCUUGAGUCUUGUAGAGGGGGGUAGAAUUCCAGGUGUAGCGGUGAAAUGCGUAGAGAUCUGGAGGAAUACCGGUGGCGAAGGCGGCCCCCUGGACAAAGACUGACGCUCAGGUGCGAAAGCGUGGGGAGCAAACAGGAUUAGAUACCCUGGUAGUCCACGCCGUAAACGAUGUCUACUUGGAGGUUGUGCCCUUGAGGCGUGGCUUCCGGAGCUAACGCGUUAAGUAGACCGCCUGGGGAGUACGGCCGCAAGGUUAAAACUCAAAUGAAUUGACGGGGGCCCGCACAAGCGGUGGAGCAUGUGGUUUAAUUCGAUGCAACGCGAAGAACCUUACCUGGUCUUGACAUCCACAGAACUUUCCAGAGAUGGACUGGUGCCUUCGGGAACUGUGAGACAGGUGCUGCAUGGCUGUCGUCAGCUCGUGUUGUGAAAUGUUGGGUUAAGUCCCGCAACGAGCGCAACCCUUAUCCUUUGUUGCCAGCGGUCCGGCCGGGAACUCAAAGGAGACUGCCAGUGAUAAACUGGAGGAAGGUGGGGAUGACGUCAAGUCAUCAUGGCCCUUACGACCAGGGCUACACACGUGCUACAAUGGCGCAUACAAAGAGAAGCGACCUCGCGAGAGCAAGCGGACCUCAUAAAGUGCGUCGUAGUCCGGAUUGGAGUCUGCAACUCGACUCCAUGAAGUCGGAAUCGCUAGUAAUCGUGGAUCAGAAUGCCACGGUGAAUACGUUCCCGGGCCUUGUACACACCGCCCGUCACACCAUGGGAGUGGGUUGCAAAAGAAGUAGGUAGCUUAACCUUCGGGAGGGCGCUUACCACUUUGUGAUUCAUGACUGGGGUGAAGUCGUAACAAGGUAACCGUAGGGGAACCUGCGGUUGGAUCACCUCCUUA